rnacentral:rRNA from 1 species
CCCUUAGAUGUCCGGGGCUGCACGCGCGCUACACUGUAGAAAGCAGCGUGCUUUAAAACCUUUCCUGAAAAGGAUGGGUAACCCCAGCAAAAUUCUACGUGCUUGGGAUAGAGAUUUGCAAUUUUCUCUCUUGAACGAGGAAUUCCUAGUAAACGCAGAUCAUCAAUCUGCAUUGAUUACGUCCCUGCCCUUUGUACACACCGCCCGUCGCACCUACCGAUUGGAUGGUCCGGUGAAGCCUCGGGAUUGUGGUUCUUGCCGCUUUAUUGUGGCGUGACCGCGAGAACUUGUCUAAACCUUAUCAUCUAGAGGAAGGUGAAGUCGUAACA